UGACAAAGCUACACAAAAAAUGUCCUAUAAACAAACUAGACAAAACAAACUUUUUAGGCAAGGGACAUGAGCUCAACGUUAACAGAUACAAAAAUGAAGCAUAUCAAGAAGAGCUGACCGUCCCUACUGUGAAACAUGGAGGAGGCUUUGUCAUUAUCUGGGACUAUUCUAACGUGGCCUUCUAUGAGCCCUGAUCUAAAUCCUUUUGAACAUCUGUGUGGAAGCACCCUUCAAACCUGAGACAAGUGGAGCAGUUUGCUCAUGAAGAAUGGACCAAAAUACCUGCUGAGAGGUGCAGAAACCUCAUUGAAAGUUACAAAACUUGUUUGAUCGCAGCACUUGCCUCAAUAGGCUCCGCACCUAAAGACUAAGUGUACCAUCUGUUACAAGAGUGUUGAAAUCAAUCAAUAUAUAAAGAUAUUAUGUUGAACCAAAAUUCAAAUUGAGCAAGGUAUGAUUUUCAUUGGUUCAUUUUCAGAUCGUUUUUUUAAUUAUUAUUAUUACUUUUGUCAGAUUCUUGUUUUUUAUGUGGCCACUGUGGGUUUUUCAUUCAUUAAAAAAGGUAGACCAAUAAUUUUGUCGACGAGUGUACAAACACCACACAGUUGAUUUGAAACAUGAAAAACUCGACUCUGAGGGUGACGUACGUACAAUUGUUUUAAAUAAAAGUAACCGAUAAGGUAUAUCAUAAAUGACCACUGAAAAGACAAAAUUUAAAACCCCUUUCAGGACACCACAUUUAAACUUGCGUACUUUUGAAUUAAUUAAUAUCGAACACUCGCGUUACGUUCGCAACGUGCCAGGAUGGUCAUAUUACCACUCAACAGCUGUGACCAUAUUAACAGGUACCACUUUAAACCAAACACCGAUGAACUCUAAUUGAUGUCAAUAAAAGACGUAUGCCAAUUAACAUAACUCAUAUUAGAACGUUAGCAAUGAACGGCCGAUCAACGACUACUGCUUCACCGAUAUCACCAUACAUUAAGUUCAUUUCAGCAACGCCACUGUUUCGACUGGUAGUGCUUCAGUACUGCCAAGCCUUUCUGCUUCUCCGUCCAAGCCGGCGGAGGGUGGAGAAGUGCACGGAGGCCGAAACAGAUUGCGGAAGGAAGCCAUUUUGGUGACAUCAUAAACAAAGACUACUGCGUGGACAUUACGGUAGUAGUGUUCCAC